rnacentral:rRNA from 1 species
UACAGAGGUCUCAAGCGUUGUUCGGAUUCAUUGGGCGUAAAGGGUGUGUAGGUGGCGCGCUAAGUCGGGUGUGAAAUUUCGGAGCUUAACUCCGAAACUGCAUUCGAUACUGGCGUGCUUUGAGGACUGGGAGAGGAGACUGGAAUUCAUGGUGUAGCAGUGAAAAUGCGUAGAGAUCAUGAGGAAGACCAGUGGCGAAAGGCGGGUCUCUGGACAGUUCCUGACACUGAGACACGAAGGCCAGGGGGAGCAAAACGGGG